rnacentral:rRNA from 1 species
AUGGACGGCGCCAGCGAGGGACGGGAGCAGCCGAUGUUGGAGAAGGAGCUGAUCAGCAGCCACAAGGAGCAUCACUUCACGGCCGGGGAGGUGGUGCGCGAUGUCAUCAUGGGCGUGUCCGACGGCCUUACCGUGCCCUUCGCCCUCGCCGCAGGGCUCUCAGGUGCGAGCGCGGCAUCAUCGCUCGUCCUUACCGCCGGGCUUGCCGAGGUCGCAGCAGGGGCCAUCUCCAUGGGACUCGGGGGGUACCUGGCGGCUAAGAGCGAAGCAGACCAUUAUGAACUGGAGUUAAGAAGGGAGCAAGAGGAGAUCAUCGCGGUCCCUGAAAUCGAGGCUGCUGAGAUCGGAGAGAUCAUGUCGUUUGAGCUGGGACUUGAGAAGCCAUACCCUAGAAGAGCCCUGCAGAGCGCUCUUACGAUAGCGCUCUCCUACGUUGUCGGCGGGUUGGUCCCACUCAUGCCCUACAUGCUCAUUCCCACUGCUCAUGACGCAAUGCGCACAUCGGUCGUGCUCACACUUGUGGCACUCUUCUUUUUCGGCUAUGUCAAGGGCCGCUUCACUGGAAGCCGCCCCCUCUUCAGUGCCCUCCAGACUACUUUUAUCGGUGCAGUUGCUUCUGCCGCGGCAUAUGGAAUCGCCAAAGUUGUGCAAGCCUGA